rnacentral:rRNA from 1 species
GACAGCAGUAGCCACGGUAAUACGAAGGGUGCAAGCGUUACUCGGAAUUACUGGGCGUAAAGCGUGCGUAGGUGGUGGUUUAAGUCCGUUGUGAAAGCCCUGGGCUCAACCUGGGAAUUGCAGUGGAUACUGGGUCACUAGAGUGUGGUAGAGGAUAGUGGAAUUUCCGGUGUAGCAGUGAAAUGCGUAGAGAUCGGAAGGAACAUCUGUGGCGAAGGCGACUAUCUGGGCCAACACUGACACUGAGGCACGAAAGCGUGGGGAGCAAACAGGAUUAGAUACCCCGGUAGUCCCUGUCUCUUAUAC